ACGCUCGACACCUACGGGAGACAGCAGUGGGGAAUAUUGCACAAUGGGGGAAACCCUGAUGCAGCGACGCCGCGUGGAGGAAGAAGGUCUUCGGAUUGUAAACUCCUGUUGUUGGGGAAAAAGAGGAUGGUACCCAACAAGGAAGUGACGGCUAACUACGUGCCAACAGCCGCGGUAAUCUGAGCGGGCUGGCAAGGC
rnacentral:rRNA from 1 species